AGUGAACGCUGGCGGUAGGCCUAACACAUGCAAGUCGAACGUCAGCACAGUAAGAGCUUGCUCUUACGGGUGGCGAGUGGCGGACGGGUGAGGAAUACAUCGGAAUCUACUUUUUCGUGGGGGAUAACGUAGGGAAACUUACGCUAAUACCGCAUACGACCUACGGGUGAAAGCAGGGGAUCUUCGGACCUUGCGCGAUUGAAUGAGCCGAUGUCGGAUUAGCUAGUUGGCGGGGUAAAGGCCAACCAAGGCGACGAUCCGUAGCUGGUCUGAGAGGAUGAUCAGCCACAUCGGAACUGGGACACGGUCCAGGCUCCUACGGGAGGCAGCAGUGGGGAAUAUGGGACAAUGGGCGCAAGCCUGAUCCAGCCAUACCGCGUGUGUGAAGAAGGCCUUCGGGUUGUAAAGCCCUUUUGUUGGGAAAGAAAAGCAGCAGGUUAAUACCCCGCUGUUCUGACGGUACCCAAAGAAUAAGCACCGGCUAACUUCGUG
rnacentral:rRNA from 1 species